GCUCUCUUUGGCAGUGCAUAUACUAAAACCGGAACGAUACAGAGAAGGUUAGCGUGGCCCCUGUGCAAGGAUGACAUGCAAAUUCACAAAACAGAGGGAGAAGUA